GCAUUGGUGGUGUAACGGUUAGCAUGGUUGCCUUCCAAGCAGUCAAUCCGGGUUCAACUCCCGGCCAAUGCA
rnacentral:tRNA from 1 species